AGAGUUUGAUCAUGGCUCAGAUUGAACGCUGGCGGCAGGCCUAACACAUGCAAGUCGAGCGGCAGCACGGGUACUUGUACCUGGUGGCGAGCGGCGGACGGGUGAGUAAUGCCUAGGAAUCUGCCUGGUAGUGGGGGAUAACGCUCGGAAACGGACGCUAAUACCGCAUACGUCCUACGGGAGAAAGCAGGGGACCUUCGGGCCUUGCGCUAUCAGAUGAGCCUAGGUCGGAUUAGCUAGUUGGUGAGGUAAUGGCUCACCAAGGCGACGAUCCGUAACUGGUCUGAGAGGAUGAUCAGUCACACUGGAACUGAGACACGGUCCAGACUCCUACGGGAGGCAGCAGUGGGGAAUAUUGGACAAUGGGCGAAAGCCUGAUCCAGCCAUGCCGCGUGUGUGAAGAAGGUCUUCGGAUUGUAAAGCACUUUAAGUUGGGAGGAAGGGCAGUUACCUAAUACGUGAUUGUUUUGACGUUACCGACAGAAUAAGCACCGGCUAACUCUGUGCCAGCAGCCGCGGUAAUACAGAGGGUGCAAGCGUUAAUCGGAAUUACUGGGCGUAAAGCGCGCGUAGGUGGUUUGUUAAGUUGAAUGUGAAAUCCCCGGGCUCAACCUGGGAACUGCAUCCAAAACUGGCAAGCUAGAGUAUGGUAGAGGGUGGUGGAAUUUCCUGUGUAGCGGUGAAAUGCGUAGAUAUAGGAAGGAACACCAGUGGCGAAGGCGACCACCUGGACUGAUACUGACACUGAGGUGCGAAAGCGUGGGUAGCAAACAGGAUUAGAUACCCUGGUAGUCCACGCCGUAAACGAUGUCAACUAGCCGUUGGGAGCCUUGAGCUCUUAGUGGCGCAGCUAACGCAUUAAGUUGACCGCCUGGGGAGUACGGCCGCAAGGUUAAAACUCAAAUGAAUUGACGGGGGCCCGCACAAGCGGUGGAGCAUGUGGUUUAAUUCGAAGCAACGCGAAGAACCUUACCAGGCCUUGACAUCCAAUGAACUUUCCAGAGAUGGAUUGGUGCCUUCGGGAACAUUGAGACAGGUGCUGCAUGGCUGUCGUCAGCUCGUGUCGUGAGAUGUUGGGUUAAGUCCCGUAACGAGCGCAACCCUUGUCCUUAGUUACCAGCACGUCAUGGUGGGCACUCUAAGGAGACUGCCGGUGACAAACCGGAGGAAGGUGGGGAUGACGUCAAGUCAUCAUGGCCCUUACGGCCUGGGCUACACACGUGCUACAAUGGUCGGUACAGAGGGUUGCCAAGCCGCGAGGUGGAGCUAAUCUCACAAAACCGAUCGUAGUCCGGAUCGCAGUCUGCAACUCGACUGCGUGAAGUCGGAAUCGCUAGUAAUCGCGAAUCAGAAUGUCGCGGUGAAUACGUUCCCGGGCCUUGUACACACCGCCCGUCACACCAUGGGAGUGGGUUGCACCAGAAGUAGCUAGUCUAACCUUCGGGAGGACGGUUACCACGGUGUGAUUCAUGACUGGGGUGAAGUCGUAACAAGGUAGCCGUAGGGGAACCUGCGGCUGGAUCACCU
rnacentral:rRNA from 1 species